GAAAACAUAAGAAAAAAAUGAGAUCGUCCAAGAAGAGGUGGAGAACACAAAAGAACACUUAUCUUUAUCAUUUUAAGAGGAUGGGGGAAGAGGAUUCAGGAAAGAACUCUAAGAAUUGAUCUGAUUUAAAAAUUAAAAAGCAUUUGCUUGACUCUUCAUUCUCUACUUGAAUAUAAUUUUAUAACUGCUGCCUUAAAAAAAGAAUUGAUCUGAGAUGUAAGAGAAUCAAGAGAGCUUGGUAACAUGGAAAAGAAAAAAAGAGAAAUUUCUCAAAGGAGAAGUUGGUCAGCAUGUAGAAAUGCCACAGAGAAAUCUAAUCAAAAACAUUCACUGUGUUUAUCAAUUAGCAGGUCAUUUUGACCACUGUCUUGGUAAGUUUCAGUAAGGCAGUAAGGGCAGAAGCCAGGUUACAGAGGGUUAAUAAAUCAGAUGGCAGGGAGUAGAGACAAUAAUUACGGCAAAAGGUGAUUCUCUGAGAAGUAAAGAGGUGCAAUAUUCAGGAUUAACAGGAGAAGAAGAGAUUCUUUCUUAGGUUUCCUAUUGAUGGAAGGACAUCGUUUAAUACAUUAGGAGACCAACAGUGAGUAUUCUGUCUUGUAAAAGUCUGGCUUAAGAACAGUGAUGUGCUGGAGAGGGGGAGAUCAAGAUGGCACAGUAAGAGGACAUGGAGCUCACCUCCCCCAUGAACACAUCAAAAACUCAUCUACACAUGGAACAAUUCUCAGAGAAAACUAACUGGAAACUGGGAGAAGGACUCCUGUACAACCAAGGCUGUAAGAAAGACACACACAUAAUCAGUCAGUGAUGUUCUGGGACACUCUUUUAAGAAGACUUGAUUUGUAUCAUUUUCCAAUUUCCAUAUUGCCACGCUGUGAAAAAGCCCAGUCUUGUCUGCUGAGAGAUGAGCCGUCACACGGAGGAGAACCUAGCUAGCAGCCAAAAUAAACUGCCAGGCAUGUGAGUGAAGCCAUCUUGUACCAUCCAGCUCCAGUCAAGGCAUCAGAGAUGACACCCAAGGCAGAGAGAGAGGGGGAGAGCAAGACCCUGGCGUCUUCCAUCCUUUACCUUCCUGUCUCCCUCAGUGCCUCGGCCAGGGUCUCCUUUUUCCCUCCAGUGUCCUCAUUUGGUCUAACUGAAUGAAGUCAGCUGAUAGGGGACCCCUGGGAAACAUGGCCUGCAAUGAAGUAGCUCUGCGGAGACAAGCCAAGGAUCAGCAAAGUAGGUGAAGCAAAGGAAAGCAAGCAUGAAGUAGGGGACGGAAACAGAGGAUUUAGCCCUGUUGCGACCAAAGAGAAGGAAGACAACUGGUAAAGAAGCAGAGAUAGACCAGCCAGGUAAGUUGGAGAAACAUAAUACAUUGUUGGCCUUAAUUAAAAAGUGAGAGGAUUAUAAGGAAGAAGGAGGUGUCUGAUAAAUGGUGUAUAAUAAUGCAAAGACUUCAAAGAGCGUGACCAGCUAAAGAGACAAUUUUACUUGGUGACAUGCAGUAAUUAGUGACCCAUAAGUGGCCUGUAACCAUCGAUUAAUUUUUACUUCCCAAAUUGUGGUUUGAAAAUCCUCAAAAGUGUCACAGGGGACUCCUCAUUAGAAAUGGUAAUGACAUCUAU